GCAACUAGCAACACAACAACAACAGCACCAAAGAUGCACCAACAGGCAGCCCAAAACCAGCAGAAAGUCAGCAGGGAAACGGGAAGUUUCUACACUUCCAGAGCAGUAGCCUAAUCAUGAUAGAUGAAAUGAAAGAAUAGUUACUGCAUACUAUGUAGUACAGCAGACAACGUGUGCGUGUGUGAGAACGAGACAGAUUAGAGAGACGAGAUAGAGAUUACCCAUCAAAUACCAUACACGUCAGCAAUAUUUCAUACGCUGAUUCCCGCAAGUCGUCAUCCGAUAAUCCUUCAAAAAUCUUAAAAGUAUAAAUCAGUUACUCAAAAGAAAAAAAAUACCUCAGAAAGAUGUCUUUAUUUUAGUUAUUUAAUUUAAUUUAAUUUAAUUUUGUGAAAAGUUAAAAUUGUGAUGAUAUGGGAACUGAUAAAAGGGAUAUAAACAAACUUGCUAAUUCAUGUCAAGUGGACUAGCAGUUUGUGAGUCAACGUCCUAUAUUAUAACCCGAGUUUAAAUCCCAAGUGUGUUAUUUGUUAAAGAAUUAAAGUCAGCAGAUCUAGAACACUUACCAACCCUCAAUACAAAAUCAUUCUUGAGCUGAAAUCACAUUUAAAUGAUAGAUUUCAUAAAUCAAAAUUCUACCUGAAAAAAUUAUAUAGAACAUGGUCAUUUACGUACAAUGCACUGAAGUGGCGCUUUGCAUUCUGCAUUUCCUAGCAGUUAGCAUAGUUGCAAAAACAAUUGCAAUAAUGAAAUUUUAUUGCACAACGGAGGACGACAACACUAUAAAAUCCCUAUAUAUACACCAUCAUCCCCCAAAAAAGAGUGCUAAUCAAUGAUCAAGAACUCAUCGUAAGAAUUCGUACUUCGAUUUUCAAAGUGGACUCCUUUUCAAAGACAUCCAAAAAGGAUUAAAGAAUAAUUCUUAGUUUUGAACACUUAUAAAUGUAUUGUUAAUAAGUUGAAAUCCCAAUAAAAUUUCACUUAGAACAAUACCAAUCUAAAUAUCAAACUGUCCUUCUACAUAGUACAUACACUCAAAAAAAUACAAAAAUAAAAAAAUAAAAAAUUAAGUAGAAGAAAAUUUAACAUUUGCAGCUUAUUUUAAAAUAGUUUAUAGCUUAUUUAAUAAGUUGGCGUAUCCUAUUUGGCGCAGGUUUUAAAACCAGCUUGUAACAGGAAUAAGUUGUUGUGUGUGGCAAUAAGCUGAAAAUGUAUACUUAAAAUGUCUACUAAGCUAUAAGCCGAAAAUAAAAACACUCCUUUUUCAGCUUAUUUUUUAAAAUAAUCUAUAAGGUGUUCCCAAAUAAGCUGUGACAAACAGGGCCUUAACAAUUCAGCUCUAUCAACAAAUACUGUAAGUGAUAAUGAAACUGAAGCUGGAACAAUUUAAGAAAAAUUCAACCUGCUGUUUCCACUGUAAAAUUGAAGCUCUGAGCAAGGAAAUUAACACACUUGGAUCCAUGGGCUCAGUGGUCAUUUCCACUAUAACACCUCCAUGAACAUCCUCUAUACCACUCAGUAAUUUAUCAAAUUGGUGCGCUUGUUUUUCUGAUAACACUGGCGAUGAAAAACUCAUUGAAGACGAUAAGGUUCUGAUUUUCAGAUUCUUCAAAAAAUUAACCCGGAAUAUGCCUGUGAAAUAAACGAAUUUGAGUCAAAAUAUAAUCAAAAUUUAGGUUGAAAAAUAAUACAAUUUUUGCAGGUAUAAUUUAUUAAACAACAUAAGACCUUUAAUAGGAAAAGAUUGUUUUGAUCCGAGAGAGAAAAUGAAGCGAUUGAAUGAUAAGAACAUAUACUUCUUGUGGCGAUACAGAGGAAGGAAGUGGAGAAUUUGAUUAUCAUUUUCGGCUACCUUUAUAUAUAUAUCAUGUAUAUCAUAUAUAUCAUGUAUUUAUAUCAUGUAUUUUUAGCGGCUGCAUAUUUAACCUUGUACUCGUCCCCUGAAAAAGCAAUUUUUUGACCUACCAAAGUAUCAUAUGGAUGUAACUUAUGAUUGUUAGCAUGAUUCACUACAACUGAAGGAGGGACUCGUCGAGGAGGAGAUCCAGCUAAUUCUGGGUCUGAAACAAGAAAAUAGGAAUCCCCAAACUGAGAAUUCAUCUGUAGAGAAGAAUGCAUAAAAUAGCUAAAAGUUAAAUUGGAGACAAAGGACAUCCACAUAAAGGUAAAUCCCUUCCAUGACAUGCAAUAAUAUGAUUGUUAGUUGUUGGAACACUUGAGAAAAAAAAUUUUUGCCUCAGUUUAAAAGCACAAGAAUUUAAUGAAAAGCAUCCCAUAGUAUGAACGAAAUAUGACCAAACAAAGCAUAUAGCUCAAACAACUUUUUCGUGAUAAGAACCUUAAAUCAUUUUUAAAGGACAUCAAACAAGUUCACUUUCUACCAAACUCAGUCCAAUGGAAAGAAAGAAACUCAUAGACCAAAUACAUGAAAUGCAUCUCAUGGGAUUUCCAUAGACUUCAUUGGAUGAGGCCAGUUACCUAUAAGUAGAUAGCUAAUUAAAUCUUACUCAUCCUCAGAAUUUAUCAAGAUUUAAUUUUGAAUUAUCUUCCUCACAUUACCCAGACUUUUUAAAGUCAUCACAUAAUCUUGUCAUGGGAUUUAUUUUAACAUAAAUAAAGAUUGUAUUAAUCAAGAGAAGAAAGAUAUCAAAAUGUUAUGAACAAAACAUCCUUCAAAGGGGGACACGACUAGCAAAAAGUCAAUAACAAGCAAGACAAACUAUCUACAGGAUGAUGAAAGAGAUAAUUUCUAUCGCAUCAUCAAUACACAAAAAUCAUACUAACUUUCUAAUUUUAAUUAACUUAGAAAGUGCAUAAAUCGGAAUAGCUUUGCUGCUACACGCUGCUACUUUGCUACAGUUUUGGCUUAACAGGUAGCCCGCUUUGCGAAUUUUUAUCUCGCAAAACCCUCAUCCAAUUGGUACCAAAUUUUAGUAUGUUAUACUUGGUACUAUAUACCAUUUUAUAAAAAUAUAAAUCAACCAAAAUGAACAUCUUAAACCAUUUUUACAAGGGCUUAAAACUGCCCAGUUGUAACCGUUUUUAGCUAAACCCCAUUUGUUAUAUCUUCCACAAAAUAACUUUUAAACUCAGUUUGGCUCGCCCAAACCACUUGGAUUACUUCAUAUAAUAUAUAUAAAUUGUUCGUAACUUUGAUCAAUUCUCGAUUUUUAAGCUCAACAGCCUCUAAGAGACAUUAUAUCAAACAUGCUCUGUGCGUAGCUUUUAAAAACAGAUUUCAUAGCUAUUUAGAUGGAGUCUAGCCCAAAAUUUUCAGUCUUAUCACUCCACACAACCUGCAUAAUACCUCCUUUAUACUUAUUCACAACCAAACACAGCCCAACAUAGCAUUUAUUUCAAUGUUCAUAUAUAUAUUUACUAGUUUUUUUAUAAACAUAGUGUAAAUGUAUAGAUUACCUUGCUUGCUUGAUGUAAUUACUGAAUUUGUGGUUCAAGCUUGUAAUUGAAUGAUUUUAAUCCCUCCUUAAGGCUGCAUCUUUCCCCCGAUUCAUUUCAAUUUCAGUGUGUGAAUUUAUCUUCUUGGACGAAUUUGAUGAUUAAAGCCGAAUCCAAGAGGUUUUUGACAAAGGUUUGGGAGUAUAGAAAUUCGGCAAGUGAGAGAGAGAAGAGGGUUUGGAACGGAUGCAACUGUAGAGGACUGAGAAUGGUUUUUAAGUUUAUUGCAUCCUAGCUUGCCUUGUCAGAUAAGGACUUUGCUAAGUGUCCCUUGCAAUUGCCUAAUUAGUUUACACCUCGUG
rnacentral:lncRNA from 1 species